rnacentral:tRNA from 2 species
GGGGUUAUAGUUUAUAUAAAACACUUAAUUUGCAGUUAAAUAAAACUUUCAGUUAACCUCA